CCUACGGGAGGCAGCAGUGGGGGAUAUUGCACAAUGGGGGAAACCCUGAUGCAGCGACGCCGCGUGGGUGAAGAAGCGCCUCGGCGCGUAAAGCCCUGUCAGCAGGGAAGAAAAUGACGGUACCUGAAGAAGAAGCACCGGCUAACUACGUGCCAGCAGCCGCGGGAAUACGGAGGGGGCAAGCGUUAUCCGGAUUUACUGGGCGUAAAGAGGGCGCAGACGGGGAUGCAAGCCAGGUGUGAAAUCCCGGGGCCCAACCCCGGGACUGCGCUUGAAACUGCGUGGCUAGAGUGCAGGAGAGGCAGGCGGAAUUCCUGGUGUAGCGGUGAAAUGCGUAGAUAUCAGGAGGAACACCGGUGGCGAAGGCGGCCUGCUGGACUGCAACUGACGUUGAGGCCCGAAAGCGUGGGGAGCAAACAGGAUUAGAUACCCCUGUAGUC
rnacentral:rRNA from 1 species